rfam:Brachypodium distachyon strain Bd21 chromosome 4, whole genome shotgun sequence.
CAUGUACUCUCUCUGUUCAACAAAAAAUAUUUCAAUUUUGUCAAAAUUUGGAUGUAUCUAGACAUGACUUAGUGUAUAGAUACGUUCAAAUUUAGUCAAAAUCGAGACAUCUUUUGUUGGACGGAAGGAAUACUUA